UACAGAGGUCUCAAGCGUUGUUCGGAUUCAUUGGGCGUAAAGGGUGCGUAGGUGGUGAUGCAAGUCUGGUGUGAAAUCUCGGAGCUCAACUCCGAAACUGCACCGGAUACUGCGUGACUCGAGGACUGUAGAGGAGAUCGGAAUUCACGGUGUAGCAGUGAAAUGCGUAGAUAUCGUGAGGAAGACCAGUUGCGAAGGCGGAUCUCUGGGCAGUUCCCGACACUGAGGCACGAAGGCCAGGGGAGCAAACGGG
rnacentral:rRNA from 1 species